rnacentral:rRNA from 2 species
UGAUCCCAUCCCGAACUCAGCAGUGAAAUGACCGAUCGCCGAUGGUAGUGUGGGGUCUCCCCAUGUGAGAGUAGGUCAUCGCCAGGC